GCCUUCGUGGCGGAAUUGGUAGACGCGCUGGACUCAAAAUCCAGUGGUACUUGUAUCAUGUCGGUUCGAGUCCGACCGGGGGCACCA
rnacentral:tRNA from 1 species